rnacentral:lncRNA from 1 species
CUCCUCCAGCCCCCUGCACCGGAGCCUUCAAGUGUUGGCUGUGCUCCAGUGGGUCUUUUCCUUCUUGGGACUUGGUGAGCUAUGCCUGGUGACAUUGAUUCUAGCCUCCCUAGGCCGGGCUUGGACCCUUGUGGUUCUCUACCUGCUCUGGCUUUAUCGAGACUGACACAUACCCAGGAUGAGGGGUCGCCAGUCUGCCUGGGUCCGCAACUGGAAGUAUUUCCGAGAUGACUUUCCCCUCUCGCUCGUUAAAACAGCUGAGUUGGAUCCAUCCCAAAACUGCCUUUUUGGUUUUCAUCCUCAUGGGGUCCUGGUUGUUGGGGCAACUUCCGUACAGAGGCCACAGGCCUCUUCUGCCUCUUUCCGGGUCUCAAGCCACAUCUACUCACGCUACCAUGUUGGUUCCAAAUGCCUCUCUUCCGAGAUUGCAUUAUGACCAGUGGUUUAGUUUCUUCUGACAAGGCUAGCGCUUCCUAUCUCUUGUCCCACCCUGAGGGUGGCCAGGUGGCCGUUCUGGCUGUGGGAGGUCUCCUGGAGGCUUUGGCGGCAAAGCCUGGAACAGUGAGCUUGCGGCUCCGGAAUCAGAAAGGAUUCAUUAAGUUAUCACUGGAACACGGGGCCUCUCUCAUGCCUGUCUUCUCCUUUGGAGAGAAUGACCUCUUCCAGCAGUUUCCCAACCCGCUAGGCUCCUGGGUACGGAGGAUACAGGAGGCACUUCAGACAAUCUGACUGUGGCUCUGUCUCUCUUCCAUGGUCGCCUGGGUCUCCUGAUACCGUUCCGCGUGCCCAUCCACACUGUUGUGGGCGCCCCAAUUCCAGUGCAGCGAAGCCCGAGGCCCAGCCAGGAACAGGUGGACCAGUUGCACGAGUUAUAUGUAGAGCAUCUCACACAGCUGUUUGAAGAACACAAGAUGCACUACAGGAUCCCUGCUCAUCAACACCUU